UACGGAGGAUGCGAGCGUUAUCCGGAUUUAUUGGGUUUAAAGGGUGCGCAGGCGGCUCGUUAAGUCAGCGGUGAAAUGUCCCGGCUCAACCGGGUCACUGCCGUUGAUACUGGCGGGCUGGAGCGCGGACGGCGCCGGCGGAAUGUGUCAUGUAGCGGUGAAAUGCUUAGAUAUGCCACAGAACACCGAUCGCGAAGGCAGCUGGCGAGGCCGCAGCUGACGCUGAGGCACGAAAGCGUGGGGAUCAAAC
rnacentral:rRNA from 1 species